AGUGUAUUUUGAUAGCCCAUUCGGGCGACUUCGAAACCCGCUCAAAUUGAGGGGGUUAGGAUCCUCUCGCGUGAAAUAAUGAGAAGUUUGUAGAGCGUGAGGGUUUUCAACUGAACAGCGGAGAGGCAGGAUGCUUCUUCGUUUCGAUCCGUCGUUGCUUCUUGAGCUCCAUUGUUGCUGUUCGACUUCGAGUCACUUAUUCUGCUCCUUCGACGAUGUUCCUUUCUUGUCGGAUCUGAAGUCACGACAUUUUGAUUGGAAGCAACGACGUGAGCUCGCUCGCUGUGAAGUUUUUUAGCCAUACAACAACAAUUGCAAGAUCUGCUUCAAACUUUGAGUUCAACCGAACCUCACUACUGUUAAGAUACCAUAAACCUGCAACAAAAGCUUUAAGAGAAAAUAAACAUAGGAAGAUGAAGAAGACAGUAAGACACAGAGAAUAGCAGCUAUGAUAUCUUCUUUUUCUCUUCAAUGAAACAGUAGUCCUGUUUAUAUAUAGUAGAUGUAGUAAUGCAAAGUAUGAUCAAGCCGUUGAUACAGAAUAUAUCUGAAUGGCUGAGAUAGUGCUGGUAGUUUCCUGCUCAUGAGCAUUUCGGCUUCAUAUGUCAGAUGGCAGAAGUAGUGGUUGUUGCUGAGUCAGUGAUGUGUAACGGUUUGAGCCUUGACCGUUACAUAUGGUGUGUUAAGCCUGAUAAUCUUCUUAAGCCAGCAAUUUUUUAGAAUCACAAUGUGCUCUAGCAGUUCAGAUGUGGUGUAAGUUAUUUUAUGUUUUGAAUUAUAUGCAAUAUAGCAUCAUCCCACAUCCAUUCAAGACAUUCUUAUAUACUUAUAUAUAGGGGUGAUAGAAGCUAUUAGGAUAAGCUGUGCUGGUUAUCCUACAAGGGGUACUUUUUAUGAGUUUAUUGAUCGUUUUGGCAUUCUUGAACUAGUUUUUUUUUUUUUAAUGGAAGGUGUGCUUUAUUUUUCUAAA